AAUUGAUCAACAGGAUCCAAAAUUGUAAUUCGAGCCCACCGACUUCACGAUGUGUCCUUAAAACGAAUUUGCUGCCUUCAAUGGUGCUAAAGGCGUCCAGCAAUCGUUUCCCAGGAUAGAACGAAUUUUUCGUCUCCUACGGAAGCAGCACUGCAGUCUGUAGGAGUUCCAACGAACUCAACGAAGUGUUUUUUACUUCGAGACAAUAUCAGAACGAGAGAGAGAGGGAAAUGAGAUUCAAAGCACAGAAAGUUUGCAAUGAAAAUGGUGUAAAUUUUCUAGUAGAAAGGCUGGCUAUUUAUAGACUUGUUCGUGGCCAUUCGAACAGUCAUCACCUUU
rnacentral:lncRNA from 1 species